GCUUUUUCCCGGUUUGAUAAAAGAAGGUGGAGCAGCAUUUAAUUGCAUUGCUAUCUCUUUGUAAAGCACAGUGGCAGUUUCAAGAUUCUUUCUCACAUGUUGUGAUUUCAUUCCGCAGUGCUCAGAAAGCUGAGCAAGGCCGUGAUGUCUUUUCCGUUAGGGGAUCACUGCUCAUCAUUAUUGCUUAUUGCAAAACAGAUAAGGUUGGUCGUAGCUCUAGUUAGGACAGUGCCACUGAUUCUUCUAAGUACUGGGUCUGCUCCUCCCGCCCUCAUCCCACCCUCAUGAAAACUGAGAUUAUCAUGGGCUAGGCUGGAGGAGAGGAAGCAAUAUAAGGGGCUUUCAGGUUCUGGAGUUUGUUGAACCUGGUUGGAAUUUCCUCUGUAUCAUUUACUAGCUUUGUGACCUUGAGCUAGUUACUUUCUUUCACAUCACCUGUUUUCCCUCUGUAAAAUGGGAUCAUAGCCCCCACCUUCCGAGAAUUGUUUGCGAUUUUGUUUUGUUUUUUGUCAUAAUAGGAGGUAACUCACUGAGAUUGCUGUGAGCCAGACACUGCCAGGUGGUUUUCCUGCGUCAUCAUUAAACUCUCAAUACUGUCUCCCAGGUUGUGCCAGUGAGUUCUCACACAUAAAGAAGUUUUGGAUCUGCCACUGCCACAGACUGAAACAAACACACCGUACGCUGUGUAGAGCACGGUGUCAGGCUUCACAGGAAGUAAGCGUUGGUUAUUAGUAGUAUUGAUAUUAAUGUUGGUACUAUUGUUACUUAACAUGUGAAAGUACUUUGUAAAUUGCAUAAAAUGUGAGGGUCAUUAUGCACAUCACUACUGUUACUACUAAUUGUAAUAAAGUUGAGUGUAAGAAACAA